rnacentral:sRNA from 1 species
GUUCUAAUUCACAUACGCGUUGUCAAGUUUUAGUUCGAAUUUCCUCGACGUUAAGUCUUUGUUUAUAUUCUUUAUAUUGUUUACAUUGGAUUUUAUUAUUUUUCAUAUUGUUAAUUAAUAAUACAGAGGUUAUAUUUUUAUUACAUCUUGUUUAUACCUCUGUUACGGUCACCAGAGUUUUAAAAUAUUAUACGUAAAUGAACUUAAACUUUUGUAACUGGUGACUGUUGUUUAUAGCACUUCCAUGCGACGCUCCAUUCAAUAAACUUGUAUUCAUAUUU